AUGGCUCUUGAUUUGGUGAGAAUCAAGUAUCAUGGCAUUAGCCCAGUAGUGAUGUAUGGCUGUGAGAGUUGGGCCAUAAGGAAAGGAGAGCUUAUUGAUAUACAUUUCUUUGUAGUUGUCAAAUCUGAGGUCCAGCUGGUGGAGUCUGGAGGGGAUGUGAGAAGAACUGGAGAGUCCCUCCAUCUCUCCUGCCAAGCCUCUGGAUUCACCUAUGUCAAUUAUUGGAUGAACUGGGUGAGACAGGCUCCUGGCAAAGGACUGGAAUGGGUUGCAAGGAUAGCUUCAUCUAGCAUUUACUACUCAGACAAAAUCAAGGGCCGCUUCACUGUCUCCAGGGAUGAUGCCAAAAGCCAGCUACAUCUGCAGAUGAACAACCUGAAACCAGAGGAUACUGCAGUCUAUUACUGUGCAAGAGACACA